UACGUAGGUGGCAAGCGUUGUCCGGAUUUAUUGGGUUUAAAGGGUGCGUAGGCGGCCCUGUAAGUCAGUGGUGAAAUACUCCAGCUUAACUGGAGGGGUGCCAUUGAUACUGCAGGGCUUGAGUGGAGUCGAAGUAGGCGGAAUUGACGGUGUAGCGGUGAAAUGCUUAGAUAUCGGAAGGAACAUCAGUGGCGAAAGCGACUUCCUGGACCAAUACUGACGCUCAUGUGCGAAAGCGUGGGGAGCAAACAGG
rnacentral:rRNA from 1 species